CGUCCCCGUCUCUCAAUCGCGGCAAAUUGGUGACCUCCGACGUGAUCGUCAGCGACGAAACCGCCGAGGAUUGAAAAACCGCCUACCUGGUGGCAUGUCGCGAGUCCCGCAGAACGUGGAAUGAGCUGCUGAAAGGAAGCAGGAUAAGCCGGCCGGCCAAACAAUCCCUCCGUCUGGAACGAGAGCACAAGACCUCCCGAAAACUCCCAGUACAGAAAUGUUGGUGAAGCAAGACGUCCUCGAACUAGUUGGACGCCGACCGUGGGAAGAAGCAAAUGUUUGAAAACAAAAA